rnacentral:rRNA from 1 species
UACGUAGGGUCCGAGCGUUGUCCGGAAUUACUGGGCGUAAAGCGUGCGCAGGCGGCCUUCCAAGUCAGGGGUGAAAGCCCAGAGCUCAACUCUGGAAUUGCCUUUGAGACUGUGAGGCUUGAGUACGGGAGAGGUGAGUGGAAUUCCCAGUGUAGAGGUGAAAUUCGUAGAUAUUGGGAAGAACACCGGUGGCGAAGGCGGCUCACUGGCCCGAAACUGACGCUCAUGCACGACAGCGUGGGGAUCAAACAGG